rnacentral:rRNA from 1 species
UGGGGAAUCUUCCGCAAUGGGCGCAAGCCUGACGGAGCAACGCCGCGUGAGUGAAGAAGGCUUUCGGGUUGUAAAACUCUGUCUUCAGGGAAGAAGAAAGUGACGGUACCUGAGGAGGAAGCCCCGGCUAACUACGUGCCAGCAGCCGCGGUAAAACGUAGGGGGCGAGCGUUGUCCGGAAUUACUGGGCGUAAAGGGCGCGUAGGCGGUUUCUUAAGUCAGAGGUGAAAACUACCGGCUUAACCGGUAGCCUGCCUUUGAAACUGGGGAACUUGAGGGCAGGAGAGGGGAGUGGAAUUCCCAGUGUAGCGGUGAAAUGCGUAGAUAUUGGGAGGAACACCAGUGGCGAAGGCGGCUCUCUGGCCUGUUUCUGACGCUGAGGCGCGAAAGCGUGGGGAGCAAACG